AAAAAAAAGAGUAAAAAAGCGAUUAGGAUUUUACUAGAAUGAAAAUACGUAUUUUCCUAUCAAUUUCUAAGGCUUAGUUUGAUAUUGAGAUUUAUCUGACGCGGUUAGAUAAAAUAGAGUUAGGAAAAAAGCAUAUAGGGAUAUACUUCUGCGUUCUUCGAUGAGAUCGCAAAAAAUAUAUUAUAACCAACUUAUCACGCAAAAAGUAAUAUUACGUACGGAAACAAACAAGAUAUUUUUCAAUCGCACUUAACGUAAUUUUUCCACAAUCCCAAACGAAGUCUAAUACAUCACUAAUAAAUAUUCAUAAAUUUUAAAUUAAAAUUUUCUUAUUCAAAACU
rnacentral:lncRNA from 1 species